GAGGAGGGCAGAGACAGAGAAGUGUGUGUGUGUGUUGGUGGGUGAGCAGUGGGAUUAAUGCUGUUGUAUGUGCCUGUGUAUGUCAAGCUUUCCUUUCUCUUUGUGUGCUUGUAUAACUGUGUGUGUGUGUGUGUGUGUGUGUGUGUGAGCAGUCAGAGGCGUCUCGGAGGUGUAUCGGCCUAUGAUGGUGUGUGUUCCUGCAGAGGCACCGCUGGUCGUCCCGGUAACGGGGGAAUCGUUCUGCAAGUGUCCCAUUCAGACAGACCUCAGAUCUGACUCACACCGCAUCCCACACACACACACACACACACACACGAGUGCACAUGCAGAGAGGAGCAGUCUGGUAAAGAGUGUGUGUGUGUGUGUGUUUCUGUGUGUGGAGGUAUUUCUGGCAGGUCUUGACAAAAGGACUGAAUGUGUGUGCAGGCUGUGAGCGGGUGUGGGAUGAGGACUGUGAGCUGCUCUAACAGGGCGGUGAACAUCUGGACUACAGCCACGGAACAGCAGCCGUGCACGGAAACCAGGAACUCCCACCCGGAAUACAGCACUUCUGGGAGAUCAAGAUGACCUCACCCAUAUAUGGCACCGACAUGGCCUGCUGCAUCAUAAAGGUGUGAAGGUGGUGUUCUCUUCGUGCUAUGGCCAGGUUUCCAUCAUCGGUCUCCACCUGGACACCUGGCACGGAACCCUCAGCUUGUACGAGAAACGCCGCUGCAUUGAGUAUUUAGACUUUGUGGAGCAGGUGUUUGUGAUGCUGCCUUCUACUGAGCCAGAGGUCCCACUCCACACUGUUGGGAAUGUUCGAUGGGAGUGACUGAGUGGCUUCCCUGGUCUAAACCUGAAUUGGGAAAUGUUCUUCUGGAAUAGGAUGUCACUAACAAACACCUUGUUACACCUUGAUGCUACCAGAGCGCCACCGGUCGGAGGUCAGUGAUCCAUCCUGUAAUUGAGGAAUUGAGGCCCAUAAGUUCUGUUCAUGUUCUGGGUGAAGAACUGACAACUGGUUGCCAUUCGGUGGUGCAUUAGAUUUGUCGAAAUGGGUUUUGGCCAGAUACGCUCAGGAGAACCUCCAGGUUGCCUGGUACUGUCUGGUGGAUCACCUCCACUUGGACAUCUACCAAGCGCACUGAGAGGAAGGGGACAUGGAUGUAGCAUGUCCACAUCCUCAAUCCGAGAGGCAGCGACAAGACAUUACAGAGGCACUGAUCCUAGGCAUCCCCUUGGAUGUUGUCUUGGGAAGAGUUGGGAGAGGCCAUGGAGAAAGACUGUAGAGUGGACCAGAAAUGUUCAACACCUCAGGAGGAGAUGAUGGGACAUGACCCAAGCUGUUCUGGGCAAGAGUGAGGAAGAGUUCACCUCUACUGAGGAUGAUGAUGAGUGAGGAAGGAAAACCUUGAGGAACUCCUCAACCUAAGAUAACACUUUAUUGAUCCAGAAGGGAAGUUUGACACUCUGAAAUUCCCCUUCACAGAAAUCUUUAGUAAAAGGCAAAAGGGCAGCAGGAACAGAUGAGAUUAAACCAGAGAUGCUAAAGACCCUGGACAGGGUUGGAGUUACACGGUUAACACCGCACUUCAGUGUGACAAAGAAAACCAUGUGUGUCUGUAGCAGUGUGGAUGACUCCAGCUUUCUGCCUCAGGUGUGGCUGCCACAGGGCCGCGGAGCACGACCUUCUACCCGAUGGCAUGCUCCAUCGCGUGAAGAGCAGCAUGAAGUUGAUCUGUUCCAGUUCCACCCCCACCUAACUGCUCUACCUGUGUUGCUCCCGCCUGCGUGACCUCCUGACCUUCCCCUGAGGGCUCUCUCUACAGCGCAGGCACCGGCUUGGCUGGGUGUUCACCCUCAUGAGGAGGGACACCUGCACACACACCUGCACACACUCCAACAGUGAAAGCCCCUUGGCUAACUCCACCCUCCCAGGCUAGCCCCUCCCCCUCAGUCAUGCUCUGCCUCUCAGUUCAUCUUCAGAUAUCCAGUGGAAGUGUUGUCACAGGAUACGACUGAAACACACACACUUUACUCAUUUAGUCUAUAAUGGUGAGAGAGCUUGAUUGAUUCUCUUAAUGCUUUAAAAUACCACUCAGAACUACAACAUCUCACACACACAAAACAAGCUAUUUAAAUGUUUAUUUUCUAUUCUGCCAAUUAGCAAAGUCCGUGAUGUUAAGCCAAAACUGCAGCGUACAGUAGAGAUCACCUGAAGGUUUUUUAAGAAGCUUUUUAGUGUUUUAUACAUUUUAAACAUUUUACUGUUGCCUAGAAAUGUGAAUUACUUUUUUACCCGAACACAAUUGUUUAUAUACUGUUUUGCUGAUAGUAAUUGUGUAGAUAAACUUCAUUAAUAUGUAGAUUUGUACUGGGGCACUUCAAUGUUCUUUUGCAAGUUUUCUUACAGCUGUAACAGUUUCAAAACAUCAUGACAAAUGAAUCAA